CCCUUAGAUGUUCUGGGCUGCACGCGCGCUACACUGACACACUCAGCGAGUCUCCUGGUCCGAGAGGAUUGGGUAAUCAUGUGAGCGUGUGUCGUGAUGGGGAUAGAAUAUUGUAAUUAUUGCUCUUCAACGAGGAAUUCCUAGUAAGCGCGAGUCAGCAGCUCGCGCUGAUUACGUCCCUGCCCUUUGUACACACCGCCCGUCGCUCCUACCAAUGGGUGAUCCGGUGAAUGACUCGGACUCUGGAAUUAGCUAUUUAUAGCUUUUAUCCGGAGGAAGUUUUGUGAACCUUAUCACUUGGAGGAAGGAGAAGUCGUAACA
rnacentral:rRNA from 1 species